rnacentral:rRNA from 1 species
UACGUAGGGACCAAGCGUUGUUCGGAUUUACUGGGCGUAAAGGGCGCGUAGGCGGCGCGGUAAGUCACUUGUGAAAUCUCUGAGCUUAACUCAGAACGGCCAAGUGAUACUGCAGUGCUAGAGUGUGGAAGGGGCAAUCGGAAUUCUUGGUGUAGCGGUGAAAUGCGAAGAUAUCAGGAGGAACACCGGUGGCGAAGGCGGGUCUCUGGGCCGAUACUGACGCUGAGGAGCGAAAGCGUGGGGAGCGAACAGG